AACAAAUUAAAAUAAAGGCUAAUAAUUAUUAGUCAUGUUGCUAUAUUAAUUAUUGUAACUUACAAAGUGGGGAAGUGAAAUUGUAACAGUACUAUUGAGAGAAAUGAUCCCUGAGACUACAACAAUUGAAAUUUAAUACAGAGAAAUUAACAAAGAGAGAGAUGGAAGAUAUAACAAAAUGAAUGGAAAGAGAGAGUGCAUGCACUAUCAGAGAGCAAGAGUCUGGCGCUCUGGGUCCGAAACACGAGCCUCAUAGAACCUGGCGAUGAAUGCUGAGGCUCUACCGUCAAUCCCAGGAUCUGCAAUCCAACGUCUCCCAUCUUCGUCGCUGGGACAUAUUCUUCUAACAUAGAAACCAUCUUCGCUAAUAUCAUCGCUGCCAUGAGAACAACAGGUCUUGAAGAUGUUAAAGAUAGAGAAGCAAGAAGAUUUCCUCUGCCUGCCGUUGCCUCCCAUAUGAUUGUUCGCUUCUUCCUGAUGAAUUAGAUAUAUAUUUUAGUAAUGUUGGAUAUUAGAAGUUAUGAGGUGCAAGGAGCAACAAAUAUCUUCCUUCAAUUUAUAGUGGAAAGGAGAUCACUUAUUCAUAUAACGUCUGACAUAUUUUAAUAAUUGCUGGCUGUAUUCUAUAUAUGUUUAUGUAGAGCACUAUUAAACUAGAUUCUUUGAAAAGACAGUUACGAAUACGACGAUAUGAUUGUAAAACUAAAACCAA
rnacentral:lncRNA from 1 species